CCGGCGACCGGCGCACGGGUGAGUAACACGUAUGAAACCUGCCCGUAGCAGGGGGAUAAGCGGAAGAAAUUCCGUCUAAUACCGCGUAACAACCCAUGGAGGCAUCUCUGUGGGUUUAAAGGAAGCGAUUCCGGCUACGGAUGGUCAUGCGUCGCAUUAGCUUGUUGGCGGGGUAACGGCCCACCGUGGCGACGAUGCGUAGGGGUUCUGAGAGGAAGGUCCCCCACACUGGUACUGAGACACGGACCAGACUCCUACGGGAGGCAGCAG
rnacentral:rRNA from 1 species